GACGAACGCUGGCGGCGUGCCUAAUACAUGCAAGUCGAGCGAAGUUUUUCUGGUGCUUGCACUAGAAAAAAUUAGCGGCGAACGGGUGAGUAACACGUAAAGAACCUGCCUCAUAGACUGGGACAACUAUUGGAAACGAUAGCUAAUACCGGAUAACAGUAUUUCUCGCAUGAGAGAUAUUUAAAAGUUGGUUAUGCUAAAACUAUGAGAUGGCUUUGCGGUGCAUUAGCUAGUUGGCGGGGGAAAGGCCCACCAAGGCGACGAUGCAUAGCCGACCUGAGAGGGUGAUCGGCCACACUGGGACUGAGACACGGCCCAGACUCCUACGGGAGGCAGCAGUAGGGAAUCUUCCGCAAUGGGCGAAAGCCUGACGGAGCAACGCCGCGUGAGUGAAGAAGGAUUUCGGUUCGUAAAGCUCUGUUGUUAGGGAAGAAUGGAUAUGUAGUAACUAUACAUGUAAGAGACGGUACCUAACCAGAAAGCCACGGCUAACUACGUG
rnacentral:rRNA from 1 species